AAGAAAAAAAACCCAGGAUUUCAUUAUCCAACGUUUGACCUUCCGUCUUAUUUAAAAAGAAUAUAAAAAAAUUAAAAAGACAAGUCACGUAUAAAAUAUUAAUCAUGUGUUAUCAUCUAACAACAAUGAAAAUACUAAUUAUAAAAAACUUCAAGUAAGACGGACAACCAAACGUUGGACACAGAAAUCUAGAGUUUGUUUUCUU
rfam:Oryza glaberrima chromosome 11 Oglab11_0167_21, whole genome shotgun sequence.